UCCCUGAUAGCUCAGUUGGUAAAGAAUCUGCCUGCAAUGCAGGAGACCCUGGUUCGAUUCCUGGGUUGGGAA
rfam:TPA: Bos taurus chromosome 11, whole genome shotgun sequence.